rnacentral:lncRNA from 1 species
AAAUUGUAUUUUAGAAGAUCAUAGUAUGUUUUCUCACUGAUUGUAUCGAUGGUUUUUUAGACGUUGUUUGUAUUGAUAUAAUAUUGCUAUUCUUACUAAGUUAAUUGGAACUUACCCCAAAUUCAUUUUCCCCCAGAUGAGGUGACAAAUCUACCUCUUGAGCCAUGUCUGGAUCCUUUAUGCGAUGACUAGGAGUUUUGAAGAUAACACUUUAUUUUAUGAGGCUAGAUAUAU